GGUUUCUAUGGAAACACACUUCCC
rnacentral:rRNA from 5 species